GUGGGGAAUCUUGCGCAAUGGGCGAAAGCCUGAUCCAGCCAUGCCGCGUGUGUGAAGAAGGUCUUCGGAUUGUAAAGCACUUUAAGUUGGGAGGAAGGGCAGUAAGUUAAUACCUUGCUGUUUUGACGUUACCGACAGAAUAAGCACCGGCUAACUUCGUGCCAGCAGCCGCGGUAAUACGAAGGGUGCAAGCGUUAAUCGGAAUUACUGGGCGUAAAGCGCGCGUAGGUGGUUUUGUAAGUUGGAGGUGAAAUACCCGGGCUGAACCUGGGAACUGCCUCCAAAACUGCAUGACUAGAGUACGGUAGAGGGUAGUGGAAUUUCCUGUGUGGCGGUGAAAUGCGUAGAUAUAGGAAGGAACACCAGUGGCGAAGGCGACUACCUGGACUGAUACUGACACUGAGGUACGAAAGCGUGGGGAGCAAACAGGAUUAGAAACCCCGGUAGUCC
rnacentral:rRNA from 1 species